rnacentral:tRNA from 1 species
GGUGAGGUGUCUGAGUGGUUUAAGGUGCUUGCUUGGAAAGUAAGUGUUGAGUCAAAUCAACCCCGAGUUCGAAUCUCGGUCUCACCGCCA